rnacentral:rRNA from 1 species
AUUAAUAGUCUGGCCUGCUCACUGACAUAAUAUAGUGUUAAAGAGCCGCGGUAUUCUGACCGUGCAAAGGUAGCAUAAUCAUUAGUUCUUUAAUUGAGAACUUGUAUGAAUGGUCGGACAAGAGAAACCCUGUCUCUACUAUUAUAAUAGAAUUUAACUUUUAAGUGAAAAGGCUUAAAUUUUUCAAGGGGACGAUAAGACCCUAUAAAGCUUUAUAUAUUAAUCAGAAUUAAUUAAAUUGAAUAGAUAAAAAUUUAGUCUUAAAAAUAUAUUUAGUUGGGGCGACGAAAGUAUAAUUGAUAAUAACUGCUUAAACUUUAUACAAUAAUAAAUGAUUUUUUUUUAAUUGAUCCUUUUUAAAGAUUAAAGAUCAAGUUACUUUAGGGAUAACAGCGUAAUUUCUUUUGAGAGUUCAUAUCGAAGAAGAAGUUUGCGACCUCGAUGUUGAAUUAAAAUAUCUUUAUAGUGCAGCAGCUAUAAAAAGAAGGUCUGUCCGACCUUUAA